rnacentral:lncRNA from 1 species
UGUGUGGGCCCGGAUGUGUGGGUCAGGAUAUGUGGGUCAGUGGGGCCGUGUGGGUCAGUCUGUGUGGGUCAGGAUGUGUGGGUCAGUGUGGCUGUGUGGGUCAGGCUGUGUGGGUCAGGCCAUGUGGGUCAGGAUGUGUGGGUCAGUGGGGCUGUGUGGGUCAGGAUAUGUGGGUCAGUGUGGCUGUGUGGGUCAGGCCGUGGGUCAGUGUGUGGGUCAGUGGGGCCGUGUGGGUCAGUGUGUGGGUCAGGACGUGUGGGUCAGUGGGGACGUGUGGGUCAGUCUGUGUGGGUCAGUCUGUGUGGGUCAGUCUGUGUGGGUCCGGAUAUGUGGGUCCGGAUGUGUGGGUCAGUGUGGCUGUGUUGGUCCGGAUGUGUGGGUCAGUGUGGCUGUGUGGGUCAGGCCGUGUGGGUCAGUCUGUGGGUCCGGAUGUGUGGGUCAGUGUGGCUGUGUGGGUCCGGAUGUGUGGGUCAGGAUAUGUGGGUCAGUGGGGAUGUGUGGGUCCGGAUGUGUGGGUCAGGAUGUGUGGGUCAGUGGGGAUGUGUGGGUCAGUCGGGAUAUGUGGGUCAGGCCGUGUGGGUCAGUGUGUGGGUCAGUCCGUGUGGGUCAGGCCAUGUGGGUCAGGAUAUGUGGGUCAGUGGGGCUGUGUGGGUCCGGAUGUGUGGGUCCGGAUGUGUGGGUC